AACGAACGCUGGCGGCAGGCUUAACUCAUGCAAGUCGAACGCCCCGCAAGGGGAGUGGCAGACGGGUGAGUAACGCGUGGGAACGUGCCCUUCGCCUCGGAAUAGCCCCGGGAAACUGGGAGUAAUACCGAAUACGCCGUAUUGGGAAAGAUUUAUCGGCGAAGGAUCGGCCCGCGUUAGAUUAGGUAGUUGGCGGUGUAAUGGACCACCAAGCCUACGAUCUAUAGCUGGUCUGAGAGGAUGGUCAGCCACACUGGGACUGAGACACGGCCCAGACUCCUACGGGAGGCAGCAGUGGGGAAUCUUGGACAAUGGGCGCAAGCCUGAUCCAGCCAUGCCGCGUGAGUGAAGAAGGCCUUAGGGUUGUAAAACUCUUUCGCCGGAGAAGAUAAUGACGGUAUCCGGAGAAGAAGCCCCGGCUAACUUCGUGCCAGCAGCCGCCGUAACAC
rnacentral:rRNA from 1 species